UGGAGUGCAGCAUUGCAAUCAUAGCUCACUGUAAACUUGAACUCCUGACCUCAAGCGAUCCUCCCACCUGGGUCUCCCGAAGUUCUAGGAUUACAGACAGCUGGGCACUCUUCAGGAUCUGUGGAUACUUCAGGGGUUCACAAUCGCAGUCUAGUCUUUAAGAAGACAUUUGACUUCAUGGUCCAAGAUGGACCACGUUCAGUAUCCACAUUCUGAACAACAAGAUGGAGGAAGAAACAAGAAGAAGCAAAGAGCGCACUUGUGCUGUUUCUAAAAGACUCUCCCAUGAGUUGAAGGGCCAAGAGAAAAACUUGCGUUUCUGUUAAAACUUCAGCAGGCAUUUAUUAUGUCUUCAAUUGUUUUCGUUUUCUUUGCCUUAUGAUAAUCAGGCCAUACUUGGACCUGCUUUGACAUCCUCAUUGAACUUAUGCUUACUAGAGUGGCUCCCCUCAGUUCCCACUCAUUCUGCCUGAGCCAAAUUCCUGUUUCCUAUACCUGCCCACCAUUUGCUUGGCCCCAGGGUUAUGCCUAGCACUUAAAUUCACCACAAACAUCCCUUGAUACCGUACAUCAGAAACAAAAUGUGACCUACAGCAAACCUAAUGAUUAUAAAUUGCUCUUUUCCGAUCCUCCCAUUUUAUUGCUUCCCACUCCCCAAAAAAAGGACUUUAACCAAGUUGCCAAUUCAUCAGCAAUUUAUUUUUUUCCAUAAAGUCACCAAGCUGCC
rnacentral:lncRNA from 10 species